AUUGAACGCUGGCGGCAUGCUUUACACAUGCAAGUCGAACGGUAACAGGGUGCUUGCACCGCUGACGAGUGGCGAACGGGUGAGUAAUGCGUCGGAACGUGCCGAGUAGUGGGGGAUAACGCAGCGAAAGUUGUGCUAAUACCGCAUACGUACUGAGGUAGAAAGUGGGGGACCUUCGGGCCUCACGCUAUUCGAGCGGCCGACGUCUGAUUAGCUAGUAGGUGAGGUAAAGGCUCACCUAGGCGACGAUCAGUAGCGGGUCUGAGAGGAUGAUCCGCCACACUGGGACUGAGACACGGCCCAGACUCCUACGGGAGGCAGCAGUGGGGAAUUUUGGACAAUGGGCGAAAGCCUGAUCCAGCCAUGCCGCGUGUCUGAAGAAGGCCUUCGGGUUGUAAAGCACUUUCAGCGAGGAGGAAGGGUGGUGUGUUAAUAGCACAUCAUUUUGACGUUACUCGCAGAAGAAGCACCGGCUAACUCUGUGCCAGCAGCCGCCGUAACAC
rnacentral:rRNA from 1 species